UACGUAGGGGGCAAGCGUUGUCCGGAAUCAUUGGGCGUAAAGCGCGUGUAGGCGGCCCGGUAAGUCCGCUGUGAAAGUCCAGGGCUCAACCCUGGAAUGCCGGUGGAUACUGUCGGGCUCGAGUCCGGAAGAGGCGAGUGGAAUUCCUGGUGUAGCGGUGAAAUGCGCAGAUAUCGGGAGGAACACCGAUGGCGAAGGCAGCUCGCUGGGACGUGACUGACGCUGAGACGCGAAAGCGUGGGGAGCAAACAGG
rnacentral:rRNA from 1 species